GUUAGAUGGGGGGCAGCAGCCGGUGAAAUAGGAUGGGUGCUGGCGUGAGUCGGAAUCACGGGGCGGAAGGCGAGCGGAGGCGGCUGUUCAAGUGAGGGUUGAAAUGCUUGGGCUCAACCCAAGAACUGCCUUUGAAACUGGAAAGCUGGAGUGUCGGAGGGGAUAGCGGAAUUCCUAAUGUAGUGGUGAAAUACGUAGAUAUUAGGAGGAACACCGGUGGCGAAGGCGGCUAUCUGGACGGCAACUGACGCUGAGGCGCGAAAGCGCGGGGAUCAAACAGGAUUAGAUACCCUAGUAGUC
rnacentral:rRNA from 1 species